rnacentral:lncRNA from 1 species
AUAUUAGUUUCUGUCCUCACAUGAAAAUUUCAAUAAAGAGCCACCAUGUUUCACUUAAAAAAAGAAGCAUCAGUGACUGGAUUAAUAUCAGACAAAGUGGACUUCAGAACAUAAAAAAAAAACCCAGAGACAGAGAGGGACACUAUGUAAUGAUAAAGGUCAAUCAACCAAGGAGACGUAUCUAUCCUAAAUGUGCAUGUACCAAAUGGCAGAGUUCAAAAAUAUGUGCAGCAAAGACAAAUAGAAAUAAAAUAAAAAAUUGACAAAUCCACAGUUGUAAUUGGAAAUGUCAAUACCUCUCCUUCAAUAAUUGAUAGAACUAGACAGAAAAUCGGCAAGGUGAUAGAUGAAUUCAACACCCUAGAAUACAAUGAUCAUGAAGGCAGA